ACUCAUGGAGAGUCUCAUUAUGUCUCACAUUCUUCUCUCUCAUCUAGCGUUCGCUUCCUUUCACCGUAGAAACCCUCACAGCUGAUUAGGUUUUCUUCAAUCUACAGAUGCCACAAAAUCCACCGAGAACAACGAAUCCAUUUUCAUAGUUUCCUCAAUACAAGCUUUCACCUGAACUGAACGGAUUGUUGAUUGGAGUGUCUCGGAAUUCAUCUUCUUCCUCUCUCGUUGCAGUAAUAAAGUUCUCUAACCUUUAUACUUCAUUUUCCUUCUACUUUUUUACGUUCUUCAUAUUCCGUAUUAAUUUCUUUCUUGCUUUAAAAAAUCCGAACUUAGAUUGUUGGGAACAGAAACGCCGUGUCGGAGACCUUACAGCUGCGAUGGUCAUCUUUAGUUUCAUGGGUAAGUCUUCUUCUUCCUUAAAUUGCUCAGUUAUUUUUAAAGAUUUGAAAAGUCCCAAAUUUCUAUUGAAACCCUAAUUUUCUUUUCUUUCAAAUCCAAUUUUGGCCUUUGAUUGUAUUAUUUUAUGGGUUAGUAUUUCGAUUUAUUUUGUCCUUUAUUCUGAUUUUGAGUAGGAAAUCAUGAAUCCUAAAAUUUUAAUUGAAGUUUAUGUCCCUACUAAAAAUGGAAUUUUUAUAAGAAGUUUCUCACUCUCUUCCAAAAGUUGAAGGAUAACAAUCUUUACAUUGAGAUUGAAUGGUUUGGUAAAGGCAGAACAACAUUAAUGCAUGACAAACAGGUAUGAAACACAACUAUGAGGAAAUAGUUUGAAUGAGAAAUUGAAAAGAAAAAGUAACAGGAUUGCAGUGUAUAAUCUAUGUAACUAAAAGGGAUCGGAUUCAUUGGUAAUCUGUUUAACUUAGAGAAUUGUCAUAGGAACUUGAUGUAGUGGUUAUGGGGCAGUAGCAGACAAUAGUGGAAAGUUCUUCUAUUUAUGUUACUAUUUUUUUAAACGACUUUUGGAUGUUGUGCGAAUGUUUGUUAGGUACAUGAAGGUGUUGUGGAAGACGUGACUUAUCAUUUGAGGCAUGAGGUUCUGUUCUAGCAACUGGUGUGUUGUUCUGUUCCAGCUUUUUUUCAAUAAAAAUGCUGAAUUUCUUCCAAGCAUUACGAGGUAAUUUCAUUGACUUUGAAGUGACAAUAUCAAUAGAAGCUUACUCUUGAUUUUGAUUCUAUAUAAUUAGGUGUCACUAUUCAAAUUGAGGAUGGAAAAUGUUUGAAUCCCAGAACAUAUGGAAAAAUAUGGAUUUUGAUAGAGAAGGAAUCAAUAUAGUUACCUCGAACAAUUUCUAGCUUAGCCAAUCUCUUCAUCAAAUAGGAGGUACACCAUACAACACAUUAUUAUGUUUAUUUGUAAUGGAUUCAACUAGCAAUUUUCUAAUUUUCAAUAUAUAACCUAUAGUUCAUUAUAAACACCCUCUUGAGCUAAAGAUAGAUAAAGUACCAUUUGAUAAUUGGAGUGUGUUCCUAGAGAAGAUAGGGAGGAUUCUUUGCUACAAGUGGUCUCUUCAGUGGUUGACUAGCUAGUUAGAGUUGAAUUAGAAAUUGGGCAAUUUGUAUUUUCAUUGUUUUAGUAUAUUUGACUAGUUUUGCUUAAGUUGUGGACUAUUCGUUAGAGAUAAUUUUGUAUUUAAUCUUUUUUACUGGUUUUAUUA